rnacentral:rRNA from 1 species
AUUGAACGCUGGCGGCAGGCCUUACACAUGCAAGUCGAACGAGUGGCGGACGGGUGAGUAAUGUAUGGGAAACUGCCCGGUGGCGGGGGAUAACUACUGGAAACGGUAGCUAAUACCGCAUUCAUUCGGAGGGGCCCAUAUGGGUUUAGAUAGUAGGUGGGGUAACGGCUCACCUAGGCGACGAUCCCUAGCUGGUCUGAGAGGAUGACCAGCCACACUGGAACGGAGACACGGUCCAGACUCCUACGGGAGGCAGCAGUGGGGAAUAUUGGACAAUGGGCGCAACCCUGAUACAGCCAUGCCGCGUGUGUGAAGAAGGCCUUCGGGUUGUAAAGCACUUUCAGCGGGGAGGCGUUACCCGCAGAAGAAGCACCGGCUAACUCCGUGCCAGCAGCCGCGGUAAUUC